GUAAACACAUGACGAUUAGUGUAUACAUGUAUAAAUCAUAUAAGAUAUUAGCUACUGAGUAUCAGUUGUCCAACUCAUCAAAGUGUAUAAUUCAUAUCAGAUUAACUCACUGGAAACAGGAUUUAUUUUUGCUGAACUCACCUGUAGAAGUGGUUCAGGGCGGCACUGUUGUUGGGAGUAUAGUAUUAUCAAGAAAUCCAGAAUAAAGACGACAUAUUAGAGCAGAGUUUAAGUUUAUGGUAACCUCAGGAAAUGAAAUUUGUAGUAAGCACAAGAAAAAGUUCUUCAUAGGGAGAUAAGUUUCUCUGUACAUUGGCCUGAUCAUCAUUGACGUUAACUUAUAGAUGACUAGCAGCCUUCAAACCAGGCGUACAAGACGCAUCUCACAACUUCUUGGUUCAUUUAGUCAGUCUUUGGAAAAAAGGAC